rnacentral:misc_RNA from 1 species
UCUCCGUAGGUGAACCUGCGGAGGGAUCAUUACAGAGUUCUCGCCCUCGCGGGUAGAUCUCCCACCCACUGCUAUCGUUACUGUGUUGCUUUGGCGGGCCGCCGGGCCCCGCUCGGCCGCCGGCUCCGGCUGGCGCGCGCCCGCCAGAGGCCCAGCAAACUCUGAAUGUUAGUGUCGUCUGAGUACUAUAUAAUAGUUAAAACUUUCAACAACGGAUCUCUUGGUUCUG